GAUGAAGAACGCAGCGAAAUGCGAUACUUGGUGUGAAUUGCAGAAUCCCGUGAACCAUCGAGUCUUUGAACGCAAGUUGCGCCUCAAGCCAUUAGGUUGAGGGCACGUCUGCCUGGGCGUCACAUAUCGUUGCCUGAUGCCAGUUUCCUCGUGAUGGGUGACUGUGCAGGGCGAAUGAUGGCUUCCCGUGAGCAUUGUUGCCUCAUGGUUGGUUGAAAAUUGAGUCCUUGGUAGGGAGCGCCGUGAUAGAUGGUGGUUGAGUGACGAACGAGACCCAAUCAUGUGAGACCCCUACCGAAUUUGGCCAUCAUGACCCACAUGCGUCUUUGGAACGCUCAUGACGAGACCUCAGGUCAGGCGGGGCUACCCGCUGAGUUUAAGCAUAUCAAUAAGCGGAGGA
rnacentral:misc_RNA from 1 species